rnacentral:rRNA from 1 species
AUGAACGCUGGCGGCGUGCCUAAUACCUGCAAGUCGCGCGAACAGACGAGGAGCUUGCUCCUCUGACGUUAGCGGCGGACGGGUGAGUAACACGUGGAUAACCUACCUAUAAGACUGGGAUAACUUCGGGAAACCGGAGCUAAUACCGGAUAAUAUAUUGAACCGCAUGGUUCAAUAGUGAAAGACGGUUUUGCUGUCACUUAUAGAUGGAUCCGCGCCGCAUUGGCUAGUUGGUAAGGUAACGGCUUACCAAGGCAACGAUGCGUAGCCGACCUGAGAGGGUGAUCGGCCACACUGGAACUGAGACACGGUCCAGACUCCUACGGGAGGCAGCAGUAGGGAAUCUUCCGCAAUGGGCGAAAGCUUGACGGAGCAACGCCGCGUGAGUGAUGAAGGUCUUCGGAUCGUAAAACUCUGUUAUUAGGGAAGAACAAAUGUGUAAGUAACUAUGCACGUCUUGACGGUACCUAAUCAGAAAGCCACGGCUAACUACGUG